UACGUAGGGGGCAAGCGUUGUCCGGAUUUAUUGGGCGUAAAGAGCGUGUAGGCGGCCAAGCAGGUCCGCUGUGAAAACUCGAGGCUCAACCUCGAGAGGUCGGUGGAAACCGUUUGGCUAGAGUCCGGAAGAGGGGAGUGGAAUUCCCGGUGUAGCGGUGAAAUGCGCAGAUAUCGGGAAGAACACCCGUGGCGAAGGCGGCUCUCUGGGACGGUACUGACGCUGAGACGCGAAAGCUAGGGGAGCAAACGGG
rnacentral:rRNA from 1 species